AUGAACAUUCAUUUCAUAAUCCCAAGUCACAGUUACAUGUGGGAUCCUAUUACAUAAACCAUUUCAAUUCACAUGUUCAAAACCACUUCUCAAUUCCAAAGUUACAAACAAUUUCACACAUAUUACAUAAACCAUUCAAAUUUUCAUUCACUUUCAGUUACAUAUAAUCUAACCAUUUUACAAAAAAAACCACUCCAACAAUGAAACAUCCUAAGGUGGA
rnacentral:lncRNA from 1 species